rnacentral:tRNA from 1 species
GGCCACGUGGCGCAGAGGUCAGCAUGUCCUCCUAUGACGCCGAACGUCCGGGUUCAAAUCCCGGCGUGAACA